GGUAUGCUACAUAUUGUUCAAUAGAAGAUGAUGUAAAAACCUCAAUAUCUACCAGACAGUGGUAAUUGGAAUACAGAGCCACAUUCUACUGCUAACAACACUGAGUGAAUGGAUAACUCCCUGAGGAAAAACACUGCUGAUUUCAGUGAUGAUUUUUAUUUGCUUCUUUGCUGUUUGGAAUUAUUUGCUUGUAUUUCCAUAGCUAAUUUUUGGUAUGUUGUCACUCAUGAAUGGAUAGGCUGGAGGGGACUUGCAGAUUUACUGAAUGCUGCCAGUUGUGAAAGGUGGCCUCAUUCUGUAAUCCCUCCACCAACUUGAACAAGUUUUCUGUUGAAAGUAUCAUUACUGAAAAGCCUCUUGGAGUUAUAAAUAUAUAAAGUUCUGACAUAAGUUUAUCCAUGGCUAGUAUGUUUACUCUUGUAUCAAAAAUGUUCUGUAGCUUUUAUAACUUCUUUGACUUGCCCACGUGUUUGCGUAAGACCAGUCAUAGUCCUUCUCUGUUCUGCUAAGUUAAAUAGAUUUUUUUUUUUUUUUUUUUUUUUUGUUUAGUUUUAUACCCUUUUGUAACAGGCUCUCAGUUGUCCCAGACAUCCUAGUGUCACCUUCAUACAUUGUGUUAAGAUUUUCUUGAAUGCUGAGGACAAGAAAUGUGUACAAUCUUUGAGGGAAAUUAUGGCUAAUGACUCUGGUAGUUCUGCUCAUUCAUGUCUAUACAUCCUAAAAUGACUUUCUUAAUCUUGCAUUCACCCUUUUGUAAGCUGCAUAUAUUUUUGUCUCUUACUUGAUCAAGGAUCAGCAAUAUACCCAGGAGGCUGCUUGUUUGGAGUCAUCAGCUUUGAUUACAAACCUACUUCAUUUAGUUUAAACUAGAACAACUGGAUCAAAGAUAACUUUUUUGUGAACAUCCAUCCUACAUAGUUCUCCCACUUCAUCAAAGCCAAAUUUUAGGUAACAUAUCUUACUGAGUCAGUGGAUAUUUAGUUGAAAAACAGCAUCUGCAACAGGAAUGAGGAUCAUGUGGUCCAAUGCACCCUUCAGUUAUACUCUAGCAGCAUCUUGCCUUGCAGUUGUAUCCUCUCUUAAAACUGCAUCUGUACAGCCUUCCAUGAGAUACCAGUUACAACUGAGGAUGUUAUUUGAAAAAUGAAGCUACACAAAGGAGGCUGGUUUUUUGUUUGUUUUGUUUUAUUUUUUGUUUUUAUGUGGCAAAUGAUGGUGCUCAUUAGAUGUACACUAGUCAUGAGCGAAUGGCAACAGUAAAUGCUGGUAUGACUCAACAUGUACAAAGACUAGAAAUGCAUCUAACAAGUUAGAAGAUGGAGUUGAGAAAUAGGCUUUUAGGGC